GGGGGCGUGGCGGAAUUGGCAUACGCAGGGGACUUAAAAUCCCUCGCCGCAAGGCUUGUGGGUUCGAACCCCACCGCCCCUACCA
rnacentral:tRNA from 2 species